rnacentral:rRNA from 1 species
AUACGUAGGGUGCGAGCGUUGUCCGGAAUUACUGGGCGUAAAGAGCUCGUAGGUGGUUUGUCGCGUCGUCUGUGAAAUUCCGGGGCUUAACUCCGGGCGUGCAGGCGAUACGGGCAUAACUUGAGUACUGUAGGGGAGACUGGAAUUCCUGGUGUAGCGGUGAAAUGCGCAGAUAUCAGGAGGAACACCGGUGGCGAAGGCGGGUCUCUAGGCAGUAACUGACGCUGAGGAGCGAAAGCAUGGGUAGCGAACAGGAUUAGAUACCCUGGUAGUCCAUGCCGUAAACGGUGGGCGCUAGGUGUAGGGGUCUUCCACGACUUCUGUGCCGUAGCUAACGCAUUAAGCGCCCCGCCUGGGGAGUACGGCCGCAAGGCUAAAACUCAAAUGAAUUGGCGGGG